rnacentral:lncRNA from 1 species
CGUACAUCCAAAUGCCCAGAAGGCAAUUUCAUUGCCUACGGAUGCAGUGACACGACUGAGGUCACCUGAAGUCUGCGUCAGAGAAAGGAACUGAGCCCAUGGCUCACGCAGCAGGGACCAAACGUCACAGCGUGGGGCUGGAUGCACUUCAUGGAAAUGGAUUUCAUGGUUGAAAAAGGGCCCAGUGUAAAUCCUCCAGUACUGAGAUCAGCAGGGCAUCUUUUGUGUCCUCCCUUCCCAGGGCACCUGUGCAGCUUACUGGGAGAAGCACAGCUGGAAUUUCUUCAUUUGCCUUUGGAUUCCCAUUCACAUGCUGGCCAUACAAAACUCUCUUUUCUUUUUACUGUUCCCAGAAAUAACAUUUUCCAAUGAUUUUUUAAUUUUUGUUUCCAUUUCCAGAGCAGGUCAGAAUGUCGUGAAGAGCUGUGACAUACCCAAAGGCCACUUUGUGCUCACGCUAUGGGCUGUGCUUAGUUGGGGAUGCACCAGCAUGAGGGCAAACUCCGCGUUGCAGGAAGCAUUUAGAAGUGCAGAACUCACAACCAUUGGUGCCAAGUGAAUGGAGGACACAUCUGAGAACUCAACGUUUUUUAGACUAAUUCCAGCAGAAAAUAACAAGAUUUCUGCCCAUGCCAGAGAUGGUUUUCAGAUGCUGUUGGUGCUAUGCCCAAUGCAGCUGAUUCACCUACUGUGGCAUUGCUGUGUUCCUGGCCCACUGCAGCCAAGCAGACCCCUGGAGCUGUGCCAGAAAGUAGAAGCAAUGGGGCACCUGGAAGCUGCUGUCUGUCUGUCUGCAGGAUGGGGGAAAGCAGCAGGACCUCUUGCUUCCAAAAACCUGGCAAACAUGUCAUUGAGCUCUGGGAAAUGCUUUCAGAGGGACAGGUAGCUGGGUCAGAGCUCUGUGUCUGUGUCAGCCCAAAGAAGGGGGUUUACAACUACUGAGAACCCAACUGAGAAUGAUCCAAAUGGGAAUGGGAGGCAAACAUCCAAAACAAAGCAGGGAGCGAGCAGUGCAACCUAGUUUAAGGUAAGUGAUGGAAACAAGGAGUCGAGCCUGGAUUAAAAAGGACACAAGAGGGUACAAGCCAACAUUACUCAGCUCC